UACGGGGGGAGCAAGCGUUGUUCGGAUUUACUGGGCGUAAAGGGCGCGUAGGCGGUCGUGACAAGUCACUUGUGAAAUCUCCGGGCUUAACUCGGAACGGUCAAGUGAUACUGUCGGACUAGAGUACAGAAGGGGCAACUGGAAUUCUCGGUGUAGCGGUGAAAUGCGUAGAUAUCGAGAGGAACACCUGCGGCGAAGGCGGGUUGCUGGGCUGAUACUGACGCUGAGGCGCGAAAGCCAGGGGAGCAAACGGGG
rnacentral:rRNA from 1 species